rnacentral:rRNA from 1 species
CGCGGGGCAACCUGGCGGCGAGCGGCGAACGGGUGAGUAAUGCAUCGGAACGUACCCAUUUGUGGGGGAUAACUAUCCGAAAGGAUAGCUAAUACCGCAUAAGUCCUGAGGGAGAAAGCAGGGGAUCGCAAGACCUUGCGCGAAGGAGCGGCCGAUGCCGGAUUAGCUAGUUGGUAGGGUAAAGGCCUACCAAGGCGACGAUCCGUAGCGGGUCUGAGAGGAUGAUCCGCCACACUGGAACUGAGACACGGUCCAGACUCCUACGGGAGGCAGCAGUGGGGAAUUUUGGACAAUGGGCGCAAGCCUGAUCCAGCCAUUCCGCGUGAGUGAAGAAGGCCUUCGGGUUGUAAAGCUCUUUCGGCAGGAACGAAACGGUGGGGGCUAAUACCUCCUGCUAAUGACGGUACCUGAAGAAGAAGCACCGGCUAACUACGUGCCAGCAGCCGCGGUAAUACGUAGGGUGCGAGCGUUAAUCGGAAUUCUGGGCGUAAAGCGUGCGCAGGCGGUUAUGUAAGACAGAUGUG